CCCUUAGAUGUCCUGGGCCGCACGCGCGCUACACUGAUGCAUUCAACGAGCAAUUGCUUGGCCGAGAGGUCAGGCUAAUCUUUGAACGUGCAUCGUGCUGGGGAUAGAUGAUUGCAAUUAUUCAUCUUCAACGAGGAAUUCCUAGUAAACGCAAGUCAUCAGCUUGCAUUGAUUACGUCCCUGCCCUUUGUACACACCGCCCGUCGCACCUACCGAUUGAAUGGUCCGGUGAAAUUCUCGGACGACGCCAGGGAAUGUUAAUUCGGCACCUGGUGUUGAAAGUUAAUUAAACCUUACCAUUUAGAGGAAGGUGAAGUCGUAACA
rnacentral:rRNA from 1 species